rnacentral:hammerhead_ribozyme from 1 species
AUCCAACUGAUGAGUCCCAAACAGAACGAAACGCGCAUCCUGGAU